rnacentral:misc_RNA from 1 species
AAACAUCUUAAUUAUUAAUAUUAUUAAAACUGAUUCUACAGUGAUUUUGUCAGCAGCAUUUCAAUAAUAUUAAGCAAUAUCUAAAAACGCAAAUGGGGAAAAGAAACCUUUCUGAAGCACGAUUCGCCAUUAAAGCAAAAAUGAGCAAACAAGACCUACACACCAUAACCUACCCCAUCAGCAGCACUUCCCAAGUGAAUAAUAAUAAUUUAAAUGUAUUACAAAAAGACGGAAACAAACGAAGGAUUCACAGAAUCACUAAAAGUAGUGUAUGCAAGUUGAAUGGACCAAUGUCCAACAUCUAUCGCAUAUUUAUCAUCUUCCAAAUGCUCUGGCAUAUAUCAAAGGCAGCCAUGUUUGUUGGGUCAAAUUCAAAUUUCUCAACCAUCUUUUUGUCUCUAUCCACAAUAUCUGAGAUUGAUAUUAAGGACAACCCAUAUACCACAAUACGAACCAGAAUGAACUAAAAAGGCACUCAAAAAGAAAGAAAAUAGCUAACCUUUACAAGGAAGCAUGCAAAAGGUUGCAAAACAAGGAUACGGCCUGAGAUUUUGGAGUGAUCAUCCAAGUUCGGAAUGAUAUUUGUGACAGAUGCAUACAUGGAAAGCUUCCUCCUGCAAGACGAAAUAAAAUUGCUUCAUUUUUUAAUCUAUGGGAACUGAACUAUAUCUAGUAGACUGAUAUGAACCAUUCAAAGUUGAAACCUACAGAAAUGAUACUAUUAAUGUGAUAAGACUCACAAUUGGCACUUAACAUAAAAAGUUAAAAACACAAAGACUCUUUAUCUGCAAUCCGCAGAAUAUGAGUUCACAUAUACAUCUGCGUAGUAUAUUAACCAGGCUCAGUUGUUUUCAUCUGAUUUAAAUUAGACUAGUUCCACACAAUAUGAAUACAUAUUAUUACUAUUCACAGAUUCAAGUACAAAAUCAUAGAUUAAUGCAUCGACAUAAAAGAUGAAGGCUAGAAAACUCUUAAAUGAGGCUCUGUUUAUAUCCUUACUGUGCCCUCAGCUCUUCUUGCUCAAGUUUCCUUUGAGCUUGCUUUUGUUCUUCAACAGAAAUCCUUAGAAGUUCAAGAUCAUUGAUGUCAUUGUUGAUGACUCUGAGCUCCUCCAUCAACAAACGUUCUUUUUCCUGCUCUGCUUCCAAUUCCUUCUGAAGACAGUCCAAUUCGGACUCAGCAGGAACUUCAAGUUUUGCCUUCUCUGUUUUCUGCUUACAUUCAUCUAUCUUUCUCUGAUAAUCUUCAAGAAGAGUCCGAGCCUCGUUGAAUUCGACAUCGCAAGAGGAGCGAAGAGACUUAGACUUGUCAAGGCACUGAGUCAAAAUGUUAAUGUCCCUUUUCUCCUUCAAAAAAGCCACAAGAUCGUUGCCAUACGAUAUUACCUUCUCCACAUCGAUCUUUCCAGAAAAAUCCCCCAUUUCCCAACUCGAUUGCAAAUCAAAGUCGUUUGUGAUUCUCUAGGGUUCUAGAGUUUGUAUAAAUCAAAUAAAAAACAAGGGAAAUGAUCACGAAGACCUAGAAAGGGUUUGUAAUUGAAUAGCAGAGAGUGAGUGUUGGUUGCUUAGGACUCCCAUCAUCAGAUGAGCUUAUCAGAGAAUUUUCGUGGACAGGGAAAUGAAAAUGCAAUGAGAGGGAAAUAAGAUCGAUGUCCA